rnacentral:rRNA from 1 species
AUACGGAUGGUGCGAGCGUUGUUCGGAAUUACUGGGCGUAAAGGGCGCGUAGGCGGCGAUGUAAGUCAAAUGUGAAAGUCCUCGGCUUAACCGGGGAAGUGCAUCUGAAACUGCAUUGCUUGAGUAUGGGAGAGGAAAGUGGAAUUCCCGGUGUAGAGGUGAAAUUCGUAGAGAUCGGGAGGAAUACCGGUGGCGAAGGCGACUUUCUGGACCAAUUCUGACGCUGAGGCGCGAAAGCGUGGGGAGCAAACAGGAUUAGAAACCCUUGUAGUCC